CCAGCAGGAAGCACACGUCGCCCACCAGCACGAUGAUGCACACGCCGAUCUUGCGCGGGCCCUGGUUCUGCUGCACCAGACACUUCACCGAAGAGGAUGGCAGGUCAGCACGCGAGGAGAUGGUCGACUUCGGAAAACGCAGGUUUUGCUGAUGCGAUACCUCCACACCCAUGAAGACGCUGUGAGCCAGUAACUGUUGGGGGUUAUGGGGACACGGGGUUCAGAGCAAGUUGGUAGAUUUAAGCCCAAAUGCGAGAUUGACUCCGGUAAUUCCAAAUCCAUAGAGUGUCCAUCGGCAGACAAUGCAGUCUACUUCUACAAGGCAUUUAACACAGGGGCACAGAGCAGUGUUCCUCUCUCUCCCCCUCCUCCCUCCCUACCUUCCACUCUCUCCAAAAAACCAAUGGGAAAAAUAUCCUCGGGUGAGGAUGAACCAAAAAAAAAAGGGAAGAGCCCUCGCCGGUGUGGCUCAGUGGCUAGAGCGUCCGCCUGUGGACUGAAGGGUCCUGGGUUCAAUUCUAGUCAAGGGCACAUGCCCAGGUUUCGGGCUCCAUCCCCAGGAGUGGGCGUGCAGGAGGCAGCCAAUCAAUGAUUCUCUCUCAUCAUGAUGUUUCUCUCUCUCUCCCUCUCCCUUCCUCUCUGAAAUCAAUAAACAUGUUUUGUUUGUUUGUUUGUUUGUUUGUUUUUGUUUUUUUUAAGGGUGGCCUGGCCGCACUAGGCUCCGCAGGCAGUGGCCCGUAAGAAGGAGGCAUUCUUUUUAUUUAUUUGUUCUUGGCGCCCGUGACCGGAAUCGAACCUAGGGCCCUUGAGUCGACAGGCCGACGCUCCAUCCACUGAGCCAAACCAGUCAGGGCAAUAAACAUGUUUAAUUUUUUAAAAAA